rnacentral:rRNA from 1 species
CCCUUAGAUGUUCUGGGCCGCACGCGUGCUACACUGAGUGGAUCAGCGGGUCAGGUUGCGCGAAAGCGUUUCCUAAUCUUUAAAUCCGCUCGUGAUGGGGAUUGACGGUUGCAAUUUUCUGUCAUGAACGAGGAAUACCUUGUAAGCGCGGGUCAUCAUCCCGCGCUGAAUACGUCCCUGCCCUUUGUACACACCGCCCGUCGCUACUGCCAACUGAGAUGGGUCCUGAAUUGUUAGGAACGCCCGUCAAGGGGCCUACCCGGUCCCUAGUGCGGUGACGAGAAUAACUGUAAAUGGCAUAUCUUGUAGGGAGUAAAAGUCGUAACA